rnacentral:rRNA from 1 species
UACAGAGGGUGCGAGCGUUAAUCGGAAUUACUGGGCGUAAAGCGCGCGUAGGCGGCUUUGCAAGUCGAGUGUGAAAUCCCCGGGCUUAACCUGGGAACUGCGUUUGAAACUACAAGGCUAGAGUGUGGCAGAGGGGGUGGGAAUUCCAACGUGGUAGCAGUGAAAUGCGUAGAGAUGUGGAGGAACACCGAUGGCGAAGGCAGCCCCCCCUGGGUUAACACUGACGCUCAGGCACGAAAGCGUGGGAGCAAACAGG